rnacentral:rRNA from 1 species
CGGCGUGCUUGACACAUGCAAGUCGAACGGAGCCAAGGAGUGCUUGCAUUCCUGAAGCUUAGUGGCGGACGGGUGAGUAACGCGUGGGUAACCUGCCUCACACAGGGGGAUAACAGUUGGAAACGACUGUAAUACCGCAUAAGCGCACAGUACCGCAUGGUACAGUGUGAAAAACUCCGGUGGUGUGAGAUGGACCCGCGUCUGAUUAGCUAGUUGGUGAGGUAACGGCCCACCAAGGCGACGAUCAGUAGCCGGCCUGAGAGGGUGUACGGCCACAUUGGGACUGAGACACGGCCCAAACUCCUACGGGAGGCAGCAGUGGGGAAUAUUGGACAAUGGGGGAAACCCUGAUCCAGCGACGCCGCGUGAGUGAUGAAGUAUCUCGGUAUGUAAAGCUCUAUCAGCAGGGAAGAUAAUGACGGUACCUGACUAAGAAGCACCGGCUAAAUACGUGCCAGCCGCUGC